AAUUUCCAGCUCUGUGAAAGCUACUUCUUCUCCAGUGAAAUCUACUACAUCUAUCACUGAUGCUAAAAGUUGUGAGGGACAAAAUCCUGAGCUACUUCCAAAAACUCCUAUUAGUCCUCUGAAAACGGGGGUAUCGAAACCAAUUGUGAAGUCAACUUUAUCCCAGACAGUUCCGUCCAAGGGAGAAUUAAGUAGAGAAAUUUGUCUGCAAUCUCAAUCUAAAGACAAAUCUACGACACCAGGAGGAACAGGAAUUAAGCCUUUCCUGGAACGCUUUGGAGAGCGUUGUCAAGAACAUAGCAAAGAAAGUCCAGCUCGUAGCACACCCCACAGAACCCCCAUUAUUACUCCAAAUACAAAGGCCAUCCAAGAAAGAUUAUUCAAGCAAGACACAUCUUCAUCUACUACCCAUUUAGCACAACAGCUCAAGCAGGAACGUCAAAAAGAACUAGCAUGUCUUCGUGGCCGAUUUGACAAGGGCAAUAUAUGGAGUGCAGAAAAAGGCGGAAACUCAAAAAGCAAACAACUAGAAACCAAACAGGUUUCACUGAAUGCGAAAUGACGAAAUCUAGCCCUUUGAAAAUAACAUUGUUUUUAGAAGAGGACAAAU
rnacentral:sRNA from 1 species